AACGAACGUUAGCGGCGCGCUUAACACAUGCAAGUCGAGCGAGAAAGGGGCAACCCCGGUAAAGCGGCGCACGGGUGAGUAACACGUAGGUAAUCUACCCUCGGGUGGAGGAUAACUUUCCGAAAGGAAGGCUAAUACUGCAUGAGACCACGACCUCGAAAGGGGAUGGGGUCAAAGCCGGCCUCUGUACACAAGCUGGCGCCUGAGGAUGAGCCUGCGGCCCAUCAGCUAGUGUAGGGUAAUGGCUACCAAGGCGAAGACGGGUAGCUGGUCUGAGAGGAUGAUCAGCCACACUGGAACUGAGACACGGUCCAGACUCCUACGGGAGGCAGCAGUGGGGAAUCUUGCGCAAUGGGCGAAAGCCUGACGCAGCGACGCCGCGUGAGUGAUGAAGGCCUCGGUUGUAAGACUCUGUGGAGAGGGACGAAUAAGUAGUUGGCGUAACAUCCAGCAUGAUGACGGUACC
rnacentral:rRNA from 1 species